rnacentral:lncRNA from 1 species
CUGCGAACGCUUUUUCCUCCUCGCCGCACUCUCUUUCUCUUCCUUAUCCAUUCUUCCUACCUCACCCGCACCACUCCUCCUCAGCCCCGAUAGCUAAGGCACCGCCGCUCGCCGGAGCUCCCCUCAAGCUCCCAAGCCAGGGCCGCCGGCCCUCUACAUCGUCGCCGGAUUUUCGGCGCCUCCCCAACUCUCCACCGCGAACAGAUCUGCAUCCCGUGCGCCAUCGCCAGCCCAAGCGGCGGCGCCCUGCCGCGAGGACCAGAGGGCGACUCCGCACCCACCUGAGGAAAGCUGCUGCUGGCCGGCAGUGAGGCUGACCCGCACAUAUCCCGUGCGCCUUCGCUGGCCCAUGUCCGGGGAGGCGAGCUUCGCGUCGGCCCAAGCAGCGGCCCCCAGCGUGAGGCCCGGCGGGCGAGGAUGCGCCGACCUGAGCAAAGCUGCUGCUGGCCGGCGGUGAGGCUGAUCCAUUCUGGCCUCGCCGACCUCGCAUCCGCCUUCCGCCGCGUCGCCCGGUGCCAGGCGGGCUCCCGGCGCAUCUUCCUUUGUCUCACUGUCGCCUCCCUACUCGGCAGGCUCGCCCGUGACCGCUCGCAAAAUUGAUGUUGUAAUUGUAUGCUUGGUCAUGUAAGUUGCCAUGGCAAAAUACUUUAUGGUACAUACAUCGUAAUAAAAGUUGCCAUCGUUUUUUCAUACAGUAAAUGAUGUAUAUGGCAAUUAAGCAUUAUUGUGUGGGAAAUUCAUGGAAUUCAUUCAUAACUUGCCAGAGAGGGGGAUUCGCCAUCCACGGGUUCGGCGGCGACGGUCUCCUCCCUACCUGCAUCCGCGAGAGAGGCCACGACAGCUCGCCGACGGCGGGCCUCGAGGUGGCCGAGCGAAAAGCGGCGGUGCUCGGGGUCUUGGGAGCUCCUCACCACCACGGCCAUGGUAGCGGCAACAACAGCCAAGACCAUGGUCACGCCAAGCAGUAGCAGCCGUUCAGGUUCGUCCCGGGGUGCUUUACUCCCUGCAAUUUUUGACGCAGUUUUUGCUCCAGCUCAUGACAAACUACGUGUUGUGAUGCUAAUCGAUCACAUUUGUAUGUCCAUUUUUAUCUGUACACCCACUGCAAAAACUAUGCGAUGUAAUGCUAAUCUUGACCAGAUUUUGAUGCAUUUUUUUCACAAAUAAUUCAUGGCAAAUUAUGUGAUGCGAUGCAAAUGGAACCAAAACUCGUAUGUGUAAAUUGUUACAGUAAUCUGUGUACCUUACACUACUUUUCUUGUGUUUUGCACUGAUAUGUGGGUUGCUCAAAUUUUGAAGCAGCUUGGACGUUACCAUCAGUUUCUAGUUCACUUUGGCAUGUCUCAAAUUCUGCAAUAUUUUUGCUAGCUGAUUUUCUGACUCAAGUUGUGAUAAAUUAGUAAGUUUGCUAUGUACUGAAGUUAGUUUAGUUUCAUGUGUACCCGAGGUUCUGCUUGAAAUAGUUACCAUUGUAUUAGACAUAUAUUUGCCAUCGUAUUUAGCACGAUAUUCCUCGAGAAUAGACACAAUUACCACAACUCUGAUGUAUAUUUUUUGCCUCCAAAGUUGCCAUGCCUCACUAUACAAUUUUUCUUAAAUUUACCGUCUCACUGUACAUUUUUUCUUAAAUUUUCCUGGAAGAUGGCAAAUAUAGUUAUGGAAUCGUGGCACAUUUAGUUCUCGGAUUAUGAAAAAAUCAUUGCUUUCUUGCCCUGGCAACUUUUGAUUUUGGAUCAUUGUGCGGUUUUACUGUUUUCAAACAUGGCAACUAAUCGUACACUUUCUGCCAUGUAAACAUCAAAAUUUUAGUUAAUUCAUCAUGGCAAAUUUAGUUUGCUCAUCAUAGCAAAUUUGCUUCCCUGGAAGAUGGCAAAUAUAGUUAUCGAAGCAUGGCAAAUUUAGUUCUCGAAUCAUGGCAAAUUCAUUGCUUUCUUGCCAUGGAAAUUUUUUGAUUUUUAAAAUUGUCACUAUACUUCUUGAAAUUUUCAAAAACAACAUAAAAUGGAAAAUAUUGCGAUGGCAUGUUAUGCUAAUUAUUUCACCUUUAUCAAC